UGUAGCAACUAAGCAUUCUAGUGUUAAUGUGGCCCUUUUCUUGAAGUACAGCUUCGAGCGACAACUGUGAUUCUAAAGCCUGUCAUGCUGAAAUAGAGAACGACAUCAGGAUUCCGUUCCAGUUUUUCCAACCGACAACUGCUUACCGAGAAAUUCAAUUAAGGACUCCUCUUCCCACUCGCCAGGGCGGAUCUUCCGGGCAACUCGCCCCAUGUAAGAAAUUGGAAAAUGCAACAAUAAAACAAGAAAAACUGAAAAAAGGUGCCAACUUUGAUCAAGUAUGCUCUCUCACAGUCCACCCUAAACACACAUACCCCUUAGUUGGAAUUGGAAAGUCACCGAAAGACAGCGAAGUAGCCUACAGAUCAUUCAAGGGAAGCCAUCUCCCAUAUUAAAAAUGCCAGUGGUAUUAGCGCAGAAGGAUCCAGCUGCCAAAUGAUUUCCCAUCAGCAGCCAUGAGCACAGUCCAGACUGUAGCUCAGCGGUAGGCUAGAGUUGAGCCGGAGGUGCUGCCCAACUGACAUAUGAAGUAAGUCUCUAUAUGGAGUGACUUGGUUCCUUACUGGAAGAGAAAACAAG